rnacentral:rRNA from 1 species
UACUUAGUGGCAGACGGGUGAGUAACAUGUGGGUAUCUACCCUUUGGCCUGGAAUAACACGAGGAAACUUGUGCUAAUACCGGAUAAGUCUUUACGGAGAAAGCUUUAUGCACCAUUGGAUGAGCCCGCACUUGAUUAGUUUGUUGGUAGGGUAAUGGCCUACCAAGACUAUGAUCAAUAGCUGAUUUGAGAGGAUGAUCAGCCACAUUGGGACUGAGACACGGCCCAAACUCCUACGGGAGGCAGCAGUGGGGAAUCUUGCACAAUGGAGGAAACUCUGAUGCAGCGAUGCCGCGUGAGUGAAGAAGGCCCUUGGGUUGUAAAGCUCUUUCGUCGGGGAAGAAAAUGACUGUACCCGAAUAAGAAGGUCCGGCUAACUUCGUGCCAGCAGCCGCGGUAAUACGAAGGGACCUAGCGUAGUUCGGAAUUACUGGGCUUAAAGAGUUCGUAGGUGGUUGAAAA